UACGUAGGGUGCAAGCGUUUGUCCGGAAUUAUUGGGCGUAAAGAGCUCGUAGGCGGUUUGUCGCGUCUGCUGUGAAAACCCGAGGCUCAACCUCGGGCCUGCAGUGGGUACGGGCAGACUAGAGUGAUGUAGGGGAGACUGGAAUUCCUGGUGUAGCGGUGAAAUGCGCAGAUAUCAGGAGGAACACCGAUGGCGAAGGCAGGUCUCUGGGCAUUAACUGACGCUGAGGAGCGAAAGCAUGGGGAGCGAACAAG
rnacentral:rRNA from 1 species